GGCUGAAGAAGAGACAAUACUACAACAGAAGAUGGAGAAAAUGACCUCUUUAAAAUCACAAUUGGAGAGAAUGGACACUAUAAAAUCAAAAGUGGUAUUUUUGAUUCAACAAUUCAGGGGCCAGGCUGGGGACAUGUCUAGUGGUGCUGGAGAUCAAAGUUCAACACAAGUACAACAAAGAUCCUCUUCUGCGGGUCAGGAAAUGUGACCUUGCAGGGGGAAUGAGAUUUUUUCUUCAUAUUUUGUUAUUAUUGGGAAAUUACGGUCUUGAUUUGACGCUCGUAAAAUUUGUGAUUGAUAUGAAAGGUUUUGUUUUAUA